ACGAGUGCCACCUGGGGGUUGGUGGUUAACUUCCUGAUGGGGAAGGAAGUGGAUAAAAGAGGCAGGAAGUGGAGGGAAAGGCCAGCUGUAACCUAUUGAGGCUGGGUGAUGAGGUGAGCCUCAUGUCAAGGGUGAGCUUGUGUGGCCGCACAGGAUUUUAGAGGGCAGUGCACUACGGUUUCUGCGUAUGAGGGAUAUCAAUACGCCAGUUGCCGGACGGCUAAUGCCACUGUUUCCUGCUGUCCUAAAUUUGUUUAGUUUUUUUCCUGUUGCAGUAGUUAGUUCCACUUGAGUGGGGUGCUUGUGAUAGCAAAGACAUAGUUGUACAGUGGACUAACUACUGCCUUAUUUUUGUUUUUUGUUUUGUUUGGGCUACUCCCUCGUCUCAGCAUAAUAUAGUAGGUCAUCACACAGCUCAGUUCCUGGGCUCCGUAAAACCGGUGUGAAUUUGAGGUGUCUUCACGUGUGAGGAUUUGUAGUGAAAACUUCUUCCGUGUGCUGUGAUGUGUCAUUUCUAGGGUUUAUGGUUAUGGGGUUAUGCCUAGAACUGUAGGGUGUGUGACUAGCCUGAAUUAAGCUGCUGAGGAGUUCCUCUGCUUUUGUUAAUAAAAUCUUUCUGCUGAUUUGAAGCUUCCGAGGUGUUAUUGACACUUGAGUAGUAGGACCUGUUACAA